GAUGAACGCUAGCGGCAGGCUUAAUACAUGCAAGUCGAGGGGCAGCACAGGUAGCAAUACUGGGUGGCGACCGGCAAACGGGUGCGGAACACGUACACAACUUACCUUAGAGUGGGGGAUAGCCCAGGGAAACUUGGAUUAAUACCCCAUAAAGCAGGGGGCCCGCAUGGGCAUAUUGUUAAAGAUUUAUCGCUUUAAGCUGGGUGUGCGUAUGAUUAGGUAGUUGGUAGGGUAAAGGCCUACCAAGCCGACGAUCAUUAACUGGUGUGAGAGCACGACCAGUCACACGGGCACUGAGACACGGGCCCGACUCCUACGGGAGGCAGCAGUAAGGAAUAUUGGUCAAUGGACGGAAGUCUGAACCAGCCAUGCCGCGUGAAGGAUGAAGGUCCUCUGGAUUGUAAACUUCUUUUAUAGGGGGCGAAAAAGGGCCAUUCUUGGUCAACUAACGGUACCCUAUGAAUAAGCACCGGCUAACUCCGUGCCAGCCGCCGCAGUAA
rnacentral:rRNA from 1 species